rnacentral:rRNA from 1 species
GAUGAACGCUGGCGGCGUGCCUAAUACAUGCAAGUCGAGCGAACGGACGAGAAGCUUGCUUCUCUGAUGUUAGCGGCGGACGGGUGAGUAACACGUGGAUAACCUACCUAUAAGACUGGGAUAACUUCGGGAAACCGGAGCUAAUACCGGAUAAUAUUUUGAACCGCAUGGUUCAAAAGUGAAAGACGGUCUUGCUGUCACUUAUAGAUGGAUCCGCGCUGCAUUAGCUAGUUGGUAAGGUAACGGCUUACCAAGGCAACGAUGCAUAGCCGACCUGGGAGGGGGAUCGGCCACACUGGAACUGAGACACGGUCCAGACUCCUACGGGAGGCAGCAGUAGGGAAUCUUCCGCAAUGGGCGAAAGCCUGACGGGGCAACGCCGCGGGGGUGAUGAAGGUCUUCGGAUCGUAAAACUCUGUUAUUAGGGAAAAACAGAUGUGUAAGUAACUGUGCAUAUCUUGACGGUACCGAAGCAGAAAGCCACGGCUAACUACUG